rnacentral:rRNA from 1 species
UACGAAGGGGGCUAGCGUUGCUCGGAAUUACUGGGCGUAAAGCGUGCGCAGGCGGUUGUGCAAGACCGAUGUGAAAUCCCCGGGCUUAACCUGGGAAUGGCAUUGGUGACUGCACGGCUAGAGUGUGUCAGAGGGGGGUAGAAUUCCACGUGUAGCAGUGAAAUGCGUAGAGAUGUGGAGGAAUACCGAUGGCGAAGGCAGCCCCCUGGGAUAACACUGACGCUCAUGCACGAAAGCGUGGGGAGCAAACAGG